GCCAGGCGCUGGAGGAAAGUCUCCACAGACCCUGGAGGGGUGGGAAGACCCUCCCGACCGACAUCUGAGUUCCUCACACGACUUCGUGAGCACGUGAUGCGAUGACCCGGGAAUCCAAACCGUCCACAGAUGAAUCAGUAGGCCCAGUAAGAGAGAUCAUGGACGACAUCGCCCGCUCACUGAAAUCCAUUUCACUCUUUUGGAAUCCGUCAAUCUGUUGUAGGUAGGUGGUGUCGGUACGGCCAGUAGGUAGAAUCCUAGCUCCACCGUGGGAUAAAGAAAAGGAGCCGUUGUUCCACGCAUCCGUUGGAGGGCAGAGGGCACCAAGUUUUCUGGGCUCAAAUCCCUGCUCUGGCCUCCUGUCUGCCACGUCUCUGUUCCUGGCAGAAGGCAUAAACCCCGGGGGUUCACCCACCCACACAGCCCUACCUGGAGCUGUGUGUUUACAAACAGCCUGUCUCCUGGAAAUAAAUCUUUGCACUUUUCCCGGGAAAUAUAGUCUAUAAAUCACUGUGACAUCUGAGCUGAGGAUCGCCUGCUCCCGCUCCUCUGCCUCUCCCUGUAGAACCCCCCCACGCUUGCUGCAGAGCCGGGGCAGUGGCCAACCCAGCCCACGCUGGAUGAUGCAGGGGCAGUCAGCUAAAGAUGAAAUCAGUGGCAUCUUCAAAUGUCAGCUUUGUCACUACAGAAAUGGCCUUGCACAGCAGUGGGGGGAAGAAUGACUCUGGGAAAUGCUAAAUUGGUGUUGCUCCUAUUUCUCAUUCAUUCUGGUCUUAGCAUGCCACUGAUGUCACACAUCGUGUCCACUUUUUAACGCUGUAAUGGUUACUCUCAUGUGUCAACUCGCCUGUGAUUUGCUGCCCAGUGGUUUGGUCAAACGCAGUUUAGAUGUUGCUUUGAAGGGAUUUUUUAGACGUGAUUAAUAUUUAAAUCAGUUGAUUGUGAGGAAAUCGAUCACCCUCCAUAAUCCAAUCAGUUGAAGAUCUUACGAGAAAAUUCUGAAGUUCCCUGAGAGGAAGGGACUCUACCUCCAGGUUAUCUUUGGACUCAAGACUGUAACGCUGACUCCUGCUGGAACCUCCAACCUGGCCAGCCCCGCAGACUCCAGACCUGCCAGCCCCCACGAUCGCAUGAACCCCCUCUUCAAAAUCAAUCCAUCUCUCUCUCUCUCUCUCAAUAAAUGGACAGACAGAUAGAUAGGCAGAUAGGUGCCAGUUUUAAAUGUUUGUAAUAAGAUAGCUUGAAGGAAUGACAUUUUAUGUAAUUCACUCAAGGCCAUAGGACACCAGACCAAGAAGCGAAAAUAAAAUAACACAAAGCAA